GUUAAAUGUGCCCCUACUCACCAGAACAAAUUCAAUAAGCUGUAGUUGUUCUGGUGACUAUAGUGUCCCUUUAAAUAAAGGCUGAAAAUGUAAAAUCCUCAUUGAGCCCACCUGGGGCAAGGGUCUGUAACUUAUGGGUCCAAUAACUCUCACUUUGUCUCCGUUUCAAGUCUAGUUUACCACCUCGUUGACCUAGUGUAACAUGUUCUAUGCCAACAAAAGUGAAGUUCCCAGGAGGAAAUGUUAAUGGUAGUCCUGUAGGUGCCUUGCUACUGGUGUGUCUCUUUGUGAGGAGACCUGGUGAAUGUGUUCCAUUAUCCGUCUAAAAGUUUUCCUACAUAAUGUAAACCACAAGAACACCCUGAGGUAAACCCCC